AUUGAACGCUGGCGGCAUGCUUUACACAUGCAAGUCGAACGGCAGCGCGGGCUUCGGCCUGGCGGCGAGUGGCGAACGGGUGAGUAAUACAUCGGAACGUGCCCAGUAGUGGGGGAUAGCUCGGCGAAAGCCGGAUUAAUACCGCAUACGACCUGAGGGUGAAAGCGGGGGAUCUUCGGACCUCGCGCUCUUGGAGCGGCCGAUGGCAGAUUAGCUAGUUGGUGGGGUAAAGGCCUACCAAGGCGACGAUCUGUAGCUGGUCUGAGAGGACGACCAGCCACACUGGGACUGAGACACGGCCCAGACUCCUACGGGAGGCAGCAGUGGGGAGUUUUGGACAAUGGGCGAAAGCCUGAUCCAGCAAUGCCGCGUGUGUGAUGAAGGCCUUCGGGUUGUAAAGCACUUUUGGCGGGAACGAAAAGGACUGUGCCAAUACCACGGUUCGAUGACGGUACCCGCAGAAUAAGCACCGGCUAACUACGUG
rnacentral:rRNA from 1 species